rnacentral:rRNA from 1 species
AGACGGGGAUAACGUUGGGAAACCAGCGCUAAUACCCGAUGACCCCGAAGCUAGGCAUCUAGCAACGGGCAAAUGGAUUCCGCUCAUAGAGGAGGUCACGGCCUAUCAGCUUGUUGGUGAGGUAAUGGCUCACCAAGGCUAUGACGGGUAGCUGGCGUGAGAGCGCGACCAGCCACACCGGGACUGAGACACGGCCCGGACUCCUACGGGAGGCAGCAGUAGGGAAUAUUGGACAAUGGGCGAAAGCCUGAUCCAGCGACGCCGCGUGGAGGAUGAAGGCCUUCGGGUUGUAAACUCCUGUUGUGAGGAAAAAAGCCGCAAGGUGAUGGUACCUCACGAGGAAGCCCCGGCUAACUACGUGCCAGCAGCCGCGGUAAGACGUAGGGGGCGAGCGUUAUCCGGAUUCACUGGGCGUAAAGGGCGUGUAGGCGGUUACAUAAGUCCGGCGUGAAAUCUCACGGCUUAACCGUGGAACUGCGUCGGAUACUGUGUUGACUUGAGGACGGUAGAGGUAAGUGGAACUAGCGGUGUAGCGGUGAAAUGCGCAGAUAUCGCUAGGAACGCCGGUGGCGAAGGCUACUUACUGGGCCGAUCCUGACGCUGAGGCGCGAAAGCUAGGGGAGCGAACCGGAUUAGAUACCCGGGUAGUCCUAGCCGUAAACGGUGGGUGCUAGGUGUGGGGACCGCGAGGUUUCCGUGCCGCAGCUAACGCAUUAAGCACCCCGCCUGGGGAGUACGGCCGCAAGGCUAAAACUCAAAGGAAUUGACGGAAUCGAAUU